AAAUAAGAAGCAAUUUGCAACUAGUUUCGACCUAGUCAUUGGUAUCAUAUACCCUUAUUUA
rnacentral:tRNA from 1 species